UAGAAACUGGAUGAGUCUUUGUAAUAUUAGAAACAAGGAGUUUGGUUGAGGCAUUUUAUUCCACUUGUACAGCCACGUCACAGCCACAUAGACAUCCACGUCAUACUUAAAUUACAACAUAUCAUUAUUGUUUGUGCAUAUUUUCCUGCAGGCUGCAACUGUUGAGCUGUCCUUUGCGAUGCCUUCACCCAUCAUCAUUCUAACUCCUUCCUCAACCGAUCAGCCUUUUCCAGCUGUUCUAAUAUCUCCCUUCCCUCUGUUGCCAAUCUUAUCGAACAUCAACGUGUAUGCCAGAGAUAUAGCAUUGCUAGGUGUUUGAUGAAAUUACUGAACCAGUUUGAUUUUUACAAAUUCUUGUGCAUUAGAAGGAAGAUAUGGGUAAAUUGUUUUUGAUAAUAUUUGUUGUGUGCCUCUCGUAUGCUGGGCUUUGGGCAUUCUUGUACUCCGACUUCAAUUUAUGCAUCUCUGCACUGUGAUGCUGUCCACAUUCACCUGGGGAUGCUGUAGUACUUUAAUCUGGUAGAAGGAUGCAUCACUGUGAUCAAAUCAUAUUAGGCCUAGAUGAAUUUUACCUACGACUGGAUUGUCCACGGCUACUGGUCCCCGUUGAGCCCUGAGUUGUGGUUUUGCAGGUGCACUAAACCUAGCUGAAACAUUUCAUUCUUUCAUGGAGAAACAGAAAACUAUGGGGAAAGAAGUUGAAAUGGCUUUGAUGGAUAUGUACGGCAAGUGUGGUGCUCCGGAGAAAGCUAUUAAGUCAUUCAAUGGCAUUCUACAAAAUCUGUUUUAGCUUGGAGUGCUAUGAUCGUUGGUUUGGCGAUGAAGGUCUUCCCAAGGAUGCACUUGACUUCUUCGCCCAGAUGCAAAAGCCAAAUAUUAAACCAAAUGAGGUCACGUUCCUUGGCAUUCUAUCAGCAUGCAACUACUCAAUGCAAUGAGUGAAGUUUAUGGCAUCACACCAAGAUCUGAACACUUCGGUUGUAUGGUUGACAUACUUGCGCGAGCUGGAUUAUUGGAGGAGGCAGACAUAUUUAUUCGGAAUUUUCCAUUCAAGGCUGAUGUAGGUGUUUGGGGACCCCUUCUCGGCGGAUGUAGAUUGCACAAUGAUGUUCUGAUGGGGCAGAAGGUAGCCGAAAUUCUAAUAGAACUGGAUCUAUCUCACUCUAGACGUUAUGUUCUUCUCACAAACAUUUACGCGGCAGAUAAUAGAUGGACAGAUGCAGAGAAGGUGAGGAGAGGUAUGAGAAUUUCUAAAGUCCAGAAAACUCCAGGAUAUAGCUUGAUUGAGCAAAGUGGAUCUGACAAAGUUGGUGUUGAAACAAUGUGAAACAAGAGAGAGUGUUUCAAAAAAAAGCUUACAGAAUUGUAUGAUUAUCUCAAGUAUGAUGCUUCAUUUAGAGGAGGCGACAAGUUCUUCAGAUUCUUGUAUCUUCUUUGUACGGUCUGAUUAUCUGUUAUAAUAUAGCACCCAUCAAUUUAGUUAUAAUAUACUGUACAUUACAUAACAAAUCGAGUUCAAAAUCAUUAUUGCCUGGUCACACAGCAUUUCCCUGUUCUCAGUCGAACUUGAUAUCGCAUAAAAAUGGUUUAUAUACCCAGUAUAGUAUUACAAUUAAAGAUGAACAGAGUAAGUAGUGGCAUACAUAUGGAUAUAUGUGUUGAGCACAUUCAUCUGAAUAUUUAAAAAUACAUCAAUUGCAUUUUUUAUGAUCGUUUUUGCUAUGCAACACACUGGAGUCCAUCAUGCCAUGAAACCAGAUCCAUAUAGAGGUGUUUUUUGUUCUGGUUGUGAAAAGUGUGCUAAGGACGUUCACCAUCUCAUUUAGUUUGGUACUUCGGGCAACAUUGCUGGUUUUAUUUGUGAGGCAAUUCAGGGAGUGGGUGGUAUUGUUGAAUUGGCUCUAGGUUACCUGUCUGCAUUAUAUAGCAUUAUCAAGAAAGCCCGAGGCCUUUUUAUAUCCGAUGAGAUUCAGUCAGGAUUUGUUAGGACAGGGAGCCAUGUUUGGGGAUUUGAGUCCCAUGGCAUUGUGCCUGACAUUGUUACAAUGGCAAAGGUUGAUUACAGGGCAUGGAAGCUACUUAGAUUUAGUUUUGCAGCUGCUAUAACAGGAGGGAUGGACAACAUUUAGAUUGUUACAUUGACACUUAAACAUCUGAGUUGGCCACCCUAGAGCCAUUCGAGAGGGACCAUAAGCAUUGGUUCAUCACCGGCAUUGAAGGAAGAUUGUAGCAAAGAUGUGGAGGUGGUCAGGAGAAGUCCCUGUAAACGAAUUAUAGAUGAAUAUGCGAAUAUAUAGCUACAAUUUCUAUUUGUUACUGAAUUAGAAGGUGAACUCAUGAAAAGAUUUGCACCACAUGCAGCAAUAGAAAGCACACUCUGGCAACUUAUAUGCA